CACGGGGGGAGCAAGCGUUGUUCGGAAUCACUGGGCGUAAAGGGUGUCUAGGCGGUCAGGUAAGUGAGAUGUGAAAUGCCCCGGCUUACCCGGGGACCGGCAUCUCAUACUGUCUGGCUUGAGUAUGGGAGAGGAUGAGGGAAUUCCUGGUGUAGCGGUGAAAUGCGUAGAUAUCGGGAGGAAGGCCGGUGGCGAAGGCGGCGCUCUGGAACAUUUCUGACGCUGAGGCUCGAAAGCGUGGGGAGCAAACAGG
rnacentral:rRNA from 1 species